rnacentral:rRNA from 1 species
UACGGGAGGCAGCAGUAGGGAAUCUUCCGCAAUGGACGAAAGUCUGACGGAGCAACGCCGCGUGAGUGAAGAAGGUUUUCGGAUCGUAAAACUCUGUUGUCGGAGAAGAACAAGUAGGAGAGUAACUGUUCCUACCUUGACGGUACCCGACCAGAAAGCCACGGCUAACUACGUGCCAGCAGCCGCGGUAAUACGUAGGUGGCAAGCGUUGUCCGGAUUUAUUGGGCGUAAAGCGAGCGCAGGUGGUUUCUUAAGUCUGAUGUGAAAGCCCACGGCUCAACCGUGGAAGGUCAUUGGAAACUGGGGAACUUGAAUGCAGAAGAGGAGAGUGGAAUUCCAUGUGUAGCGGUGAAAUGCGUAGAUAUAUGGAGGAACACCAGUGGCGAAGGCGACUCUCUGGUCUGUUAUUGACACUGAGGCUCGAAAGCGUGGGGAGCAAACAGGAUUAGAUACCCUGGUAGUCCACGCCGUAAACGAUGAGUGCUAAGUGUUGGAGGGCUUCCACCCUUCAGUGCUGCAGUU